UGAGCAACCUGCCCUUCUCAUCGGAAUAAGCGUUGGAAACGACGUCUAAUGCCGAAUACGACCUCCUUUCGCAUGAUCGGAGGUGGAAAGCUCCGGCGGAGAAGGAUGAGCUCGCGGCCUAUCGGCUAGUUGGUGUGGGUAAUGGCCCACCAAGGCGACGACGGGUAGCCGGCCUGAGAGGGUGACCGGCCACACUGGGACCGAGACACGGCCCAGACCUCCGUACGGGAGCAGNAGGU
rnacentral:rRNA from 1 species